AGAUUGAAAAGAAAGAAGAAGGUGAAGGAGCAGAGAUGAUUCAGGAGCAUGAGGCAAGAGCUCCACCUCUCACAAAGACUUGACGGUUGCAAUGCUCACAAGGGAAGAAUAUGGCAUGAAAAAGAUGACCUUCUCCAUAAACCUGGGACCCUAAACAAGCUACACUCUCAGUAACAGAGCUGAUGGAACUACCUCAUGAUGAUUUCAAAGAAAAUUCUCUUCUCUAAACACUUUUAUCCCAAGAAGGCAUCAGACCGGGACACUGAGUCCUGUUCCAGAUGGGUGUAUCACAGAACCACUUCCAGGAUGGUAGGGUCACCCCAGAGCCUAUGGAUCCAGAAAAUGUGAUGAUGCAACACAUACCCAACCUUGCUUCUGCCAACGUGGAUUCAGGGCGCCUGGUAGUGACUGAGCACUAAGCACAUGGCAAGCAUUCAACACAGAGAAAUGGAGAUACAUCUUGGAGAUAAAUAGAAGGCCAGCCUCCUCCUAUUGGAAGACGCUGGGUUGAGGUUCAGAGCAGGUAAGCCACUGGACCAGCAACCCCGACCUAGGCAGAGGCUGGCAUCCAGGCUCUCUGACAGAGCCUGCUCUCCCUCCAAAGAAGCUGGUCCUCUUCAUGCCUCUCUGGGCUUGUCUUCUACCUUCUCUCUUUUCCCAUAAGGGGUGUUUCUCUCUUUGUAUGCAAAUCCUUUUAGCCCUUCAACAAACAGGUCAAACCUCUGAAAACUCUGGCUUGCCCCAAUCUCACCCUCUCCAUACCACCAAGCAUAUUUAGUGUUUAGCUGUGGCAGGUGGUUGUAGCUAAUCUAACACUCUUCUUUUGUUAUCUGCUGGUGUUGUGUGUGGAAGUUUCUUCUCUCAGAUACACUCUCCAUCCUGAAAACAAGGACUGGAUUUUUACACUUUUUUUUUACCCCCACACCUAGUUUGGUAAGGGUUACUCUGUUGGUGUUAGGGUUGGAAGAAUUUAAUGGAAAUAUAUAAGGGAAAAAGGAUGUCAGUCACUAAGUUUUCUUACUCUAGGGAGAUGUAGAAGCUACAGUUUCUAGGGUAAAUAUGGGGAAAAAAAAAAAAAGAAACAGUAAGGAAUAUACAGGGACAACAAAAUGUCAAAUCUCUGCCCCAAAGCAUAACAGUACAAAGUUAAUGGAUAACAUAUAAUUGAAUUGAAUUGAAUUACACUUGUUAAGACACCAGAGUUUUUUCACAGUAUGUCUAAGCAAUAUAGAAAAUUACAAGGAAUUUAUUUCAUCUAUAACCUUUGGAUAAGAACUAGAAUCCUUAAUUGCUUGUGGCCUAGAGUGCCUUCAAGGGAAAGAGGGGCUUCUCUCAGAGUUUCUGUGGUGGGCACCUGCAACAAUGUAGACCAACCCCAUGCAGGGUUCAGACCUACCUGGUAUGAUCUGAAAGGCCCCAUGAGGGUCAGCCUGCCCCCACAUGUCUCAUAGAUUGAAGAACCUAUGGAUUUACAACGCAAUUUUCUUUUUAUGACUAUUCUCUGGAGUUCCUGUCACGGCUCAGUGGAAACAAAUCUGACUAGCAUCCAUGAGGACUCAGGUUCAAUCCCUGGCCUCGUUCAGUGGGUUAAGGAUCCUGCGUUGCCAUGAGCUGUGGUGUAGGUCACAGACAUGGCUCAGAUCUGGUGUUGCUGUGGCUUUGGCAUAGGCUGGUGGCUACAGCUCCAAUUAGACCCCUAGGAACUUCCAUAUGCCAUGGGUG
rnacentral:lncRNA from 1 species